UAUUGAAUGCGAACUUUUCACUACCUUCGGUGGGAAAUAGUACUAUGCAAUACUAUAUCAUAUUAUACAAGUCUAAAUAAAGCUUCAAAUUAGUGACAUUAGCAAUGAGAUGCACAUAUUUUACACGUUUUUUUUUCUUCAAGUUUGCUUUACAAUAAAACGGAUAAUACCUGUACAUGAUUGAAAAGUGUCCCUCGUUGCAUAAAUCCCCAAAAAACAUUAUGAACAAUAUCAACCAAUGGCCAUACAAAAAAUCCCUAAUCAAUUAUGACGUUGAUUAUGCCAUUUCUAGUUCCUUGUCUAUGUAAAAAAAUAUUCAAGCAGAGGUGGCUGGCUUGGCUACCUUUAAAAUCAUACAUGUCUUUGGCAAUAUAUGAAUCCUAAUAUGACGUUCUUGGCACAUUCGAGGGAAAUGUCAAUCUAACCAUAAUAUCAUAGUCCUUUAAGGGACGAAGUAAACAAAAAGUCGACCCCAUAUCGUUUUUAAAAAAAAUAUAUAAAUAAUUAAUUUCAUUCGAAUAUAGCAUUGCAAUUAACUUGUUCCACUAAAGGUGUAUUCAGGAAUCGUAAAGUCGAUACAAUGGACAGAAUAGCAGUCCCUUCAUGGUCACA